rnacentral:lncRNA from 1 species
UUGGCAUCUCAUUAAUGAGGAAGGGCUGGUGUCUCUCUCAUUACAGUUAUAGUGAGUGAGAGUACCUCAGAACUAAUUUACUUGCUCUCACUAGGGAAGACACUUUCCUCCAUCAAGAAGUUCACUUUCCUGCUGCCUGUGGCAAUAAAAGAACCCGUUUUGUUUUAACAUUAAUAAGGUGAGAGAAUAGAGAAUUUCCAAAAGAAAUUAAGAAAGCCAAAAGGGUAGGUGUCGGCCCGUGGAAGUUUCCCCAAAGCAGGCCUGAUACUGGAGUUCAGUGAGGGACUUUUGAUUCAACAACACAUGGACGACUCCAAAAAGCCUGGCAGGCAGAUGAGAAAUGGGCCACACAGGGAGUCUGGUGAGCGCAGCAGGAGACGUGGGUUCUAGUUCUGGUUCCUAAGUCCCCAAGUGACCUUGGGCCAGUCUUUGAUUUUCUCUGGUCCUCGGUUUUAUUAUCAAGAAAAUAAGGGGAGUGAAUAAAGCGGUCUCAUAGGGUUCUCCAAGCUCUAAAAUUUUAAUAUUCUAUAAAUGGGACUCUGAACUAUUUAAAACUUUUUUUUCCCCCCUGUUUGGAGUGAGUUUUUAUCUCUGGCAACAAAUUAGAAAUUCCUCCAGAAUUAAAGAGCAUGGAAUGGAAAUCAUUUGGCUUCUCCAGCUGAAAAGGUCAACUAGAUUCAGAAAUGUACUCCAAGCCUGCACCGUCUGUGUGGAAACCUAAUUAGAGAUCAUACUUCAUUGGCUAAAAGGGAUCAAACUUAUCCAAGCUUUCAUCUGGAUAUGUAUUUUUUAAAAAAUUACUCUGAGUUACUAAUUCAUUUAUCUUUCUACUUACAGGAAAUUCCACUCCCUGAUAAAGCUCUGCUUUGACACUCCUGCUCACAUAAAAUACCUUCCUUUCCAUCCACAUUACUUUAUGAUCGUGCCCCUUCAUCACGUUGUGCUUAAAAUGCCUUGUCAUCUAAGGAACCAUAAAAAGGACAUCUUAAAAAAUGUGUUCAUUAUGUAGCUGGAGACGUCCUCUGCACCCUCAACCAGAAGCUUGCGCUCUCAGGGCCCUGCCUCUGUGCACGGACAUCAGCCCAGAGAUUGUCCGCACAAAAGUUGGCAUCCUGUAUUGCCUUGGUUCUCUU